UACGGAGGAGGCAAGCGUUAUCCGGAAUUACUGGGCGUAAAGCGUGCGCAGGCGGUUCGCUAAGACAGAUGUGAAAUCCCCGGGCUUAACCUGGGAACUGCAUUUGUGACUGGCGGGCUAGAGUAUGGCAGAGGGGGGUAGAAUUCCACGUGUAGCAGUGAAAUGCGUAGAGAUGUGGAGGAAUACCGAUGGCGAAGGCAGCCCCCUGGGCCAAUACUGACGCUCAUGCACGAAAGCGUGGGGAGCAAACAGG
rnacentral:rRNA from 1 species